UAUUCUUUAUUAUAUUUAUUUCUAGUUCUGUUUGGUGCAGUGUGAUUCAGAUGUUGUUCCUUUAGCAAUUAGCUAUAGUUUACACUUUAUUGUGAUAUUGGGAUAUAAAAAUAUAACAGAAUUGAACAGAUGUGUUGUAAAAGGCUGUGAAGAUCAAUUUAGCAUAAAUGAAUCAGAAAUAAUUAAAAACUAGUUUGUAUCCAAGACGGUUGGAGCAAAGUUCUGUGGAAAAAAAGAUUUUGAAAGUCUUUUUCCAAUCCUUUGGAAGCAGAUCACAUUUGUGUUUGAAGGAAGCACACAAUUAUUAGUAAUGCGGCGAGCGAAGCGCGGCGCCAGCCGGCGAUAACACCCGGGCUCAUAUGCUGUUAUUAUCUCCAAAAUAAGGUUUUUUUCCUAGUUAAGAGAUGACUUGACGAGCUGUAACACACACACUCAUCAUGUGUUCCCAUCAACAGACCUAAUAUCAUCCGUCCACACUGUGAUUCACCCCCUCCAGGUUAAAUCAAAGAGAUGUGGUGCGGGGCCUAACCACCGCUCAUUACCGUCAUCGCAGGAGUACAGGGAGCAAUUUACCUGCGCAGACGAGAGAGGAAGAUGGACGGCGCUGGAAGGACGGAGGAGGGACUCGGAUGUGGGGAGCGCAAAUCAACACUGCGGCCUCAUGGAGAGUCCACGGCGAGCUAAUUAUCCGGGUGGAGGGAACGCCGGGUCAGGCUUUGGCGGACUGCUUUUCUUUGUAGGAACAAAAAAAUAAAAAAAAUGAAGAAAUCUAAAUAAUCAACAACUAGAUGAUCUCUAAAAGAAGGAGACCCAGAAACAGAGCAGAUCUGCUAAUGUGGAGGUGAAACAGAAAAACCUCCAUCCAUCCAUGGAUUCAUUUGUGGCCUUUUUUGUUGUCAGAACACAGAAUGAAUGACUGGACUGACACAGUCUGCACUUCAUCAGCACAGGUAAUAAGUCACUAUUAAGACCCCCCCCCCCACGCCGACCGACCAGCAGCAGCUCCACAGGGUUUGCUCUCAGUUUACAGUCCACAUCCAUCCAUCACACGCUCACCCCGUUCUGCUUCUACGCGUCUAAUCUCUGCGUUUCCUCUGCGAGACGCUCGGCAACGCUCCGUCAUCCAGCCCCAAAUCCCAGAAACUUCCAGCUAAUUCCAUUACGGGAAUGUUUUUCUAUGGUUGCAGGAAAAUCGUCGGAAGGUUAACCAGGAUAUUAGAUUUUGGUCGUCCGUUCGGGUUCCUGGAAAGUUGCACAAACAUUUCUAAU